rnacentral:misc_RNA from 1 species
UGAUUACGUCCCUGCCCUUUGUACACACCGCCCGUCGCUACUACCGAUUGGAUGACUUAGUGAGGUCUUAGGACCGAGACGAAGGUGCCUUAACNUGGUGCCUACGCUUUGGAAAUUUGAUCGAACUAAGUUAUCUAGAGGAAGUAAAAGUCGUAACAAGGUUUCCGUAGGUGAACCUGCGGAAGGAUCAUUAACGAGCUACGAGAAAGACGAAUCGUACGAGUGACUUUGGUCGCUCUGCUUUCUCGGUUUUUUAUCCGAUCUGAGGCGAACCGAUCGUACAUACGCGGUAAGGCGCUUUAGCGCAAAGUCCGUUUGUCGGUUCCCGGCUCGAAUGUUUAGCAUCAGAUUCGGAAAAUAGUGAGAUAUAAAGCGAAAACCGCGAGCGUGCGCGAGUGUCCGAAUGGAAAUAGACCUCGACCGUCGUGAUUCGCGUUCAGUAUCCGUCGUGGACAUUAGGACGCGUUGGUUGUAGUGGAGUUAGGAUACCUACCCACCGUCCUAAUAUUAAUCCCGCGCGAAUGUCACGGAUCAACUGAAACGCGUAUUAUCGUCGGUCGUUCGUGUCUGACCUCGCGGGAUAGUGUAAGCCCGGUUUUCAAGAGCUUUACGAAUGGAAAUCUCGCUAUAGCAGACGUCCCGGGGCAACGUUUCCUUACGAAUCGUAUUUUAAGGAGCGUUCCCUUCUUUGGGUACCUAUCGAAUUCUAACGCCGCGGUAACCGUCUGGCCGCGCGAAUGAGUUACGCGUUAGAUUCGGUAUCCCUAUUCGAUCUUUCGUUUAAUCGUCUCCCGUUUCUGACCCCGAUUGUUAUUACGGGUCCGAAUAUAUAGGAACAGGAGCGAUUCGAUUCUAAGAAAGCGAAUACGGGGUAGGUUUAAAGAGUCAUUGGUUCCGGAAUAGAAGGAACGGCCGAUUUCGAGCGAUCGAAUGUAUGUACACCCGGCGAGUGUUAGUACCGGUUAGUAUCGAAUGAAUAUAUACUAAGCCGGGAAGAGACUCGAGCGUUGAAAGGUGUUUAUUCGCAAGAAACGGCUCUGGACGAUUCCGGUCGUCCGGGUGACCGCCCGAUACAUAUAUAUUUUUAUUCAUAUAUAUUAUAUGUUCACUCGAAAAGAGAGAACAAAAUCGAAUCCUUAGCGAUUCCAUUCUAAGCGGUGGAUCACUAGGCUCGCGGGUCGAUGAAGAACGGGGCCAGCCCCAGAAUAAGUGCGAAUUGCAGACACAAAGAAGCAUCGACCAUUCGAACGCACAUUGCGGUACCGGGCCAGCUCGGGUACCACGCCCUAUCUGAGGGUCGAACGAUCCGUGAAAAGUAUCGUUUUUUAAAAAGACGUUAGUAAUGUAGACGAAUGUUUUAAGUCGCCGUCGUGCAUCCGUUCGCUUAUUCCGAAUCGAAAGGUUUAUAUUCGGACGAAUCGAAUACGAACGGUCGUAUCGUUUUAUCGACGGUGACUUUUUUCUACAGGAACGCGUCUUCGAAAGAUUGGACUAGAGACCGUCGAGUACGGUCGUCCUGUCCGAAGGUCUAUAUUACAGUUGAAUCGUAAAAUGACUGUAAGGACCAGACGAAAAGAAGGUGAACAUACACGCGUAUACGAAAGGUUUUUAUACGUAUUUGUAUUAGUAUCCUUUCUCUUAGCUCGAGUAACGCGCGAAUCGUAUUAUAUACGCGGACUGUCCCGACUACCAACGAAAGUAUAUCGCCUUUCGCUGUUCGCGAGAACGGCCGGAUAAGUAAGGGAGGUGAUUUGGUAGUCGGACGAACGGUUUAAAGGCAGUUCGUUAUAUAUACGCGCGAAAGAGCUUUUUCGAAUAUCGACCUCAGAUUAGACGAGAUUACCCGCCGAAUUUAAGCAUAUAAUUAGGCGGAGGAAAAGAAAUUAACAAAGAUUUCCUUAGUAACGGCGAGUGA